rnacentral:rRNA from 1 species
GCCACAAUGGAGCUGGAGUAUUGUCCAGAGUCAUAGUGGAGGUAGCUUUGUGCAAUAUUGCACAAGGUGAGCAAGCGUAAGGCUUCGUCCCUGCGUGAGGGAUGAAGGCUUUGGGGUGGUAACCCUCUUUUAGCAUGGACGAAGCGACAUUGAGGGUGCGUGCAGAAAAAGCACCGGCUACAUAGGUGCCAGUCGCCCUCGGUAAUCCGUAGGGCGCUAGUGUUGUCGGGAAUUAUUGGGUUGUAAAGAGCUGGUGGGCGGUUUGUAGUGUAUCCUUUGAAAUCAAUAAGUUCAAGUUCUGGCAUGCAUUGGGUCCGGACAAACUGGGGGGGGGUAGGGGUGCAGGGAAUUUCUGGUGUAGAGGUGGAAGGUGCAGAUAUCAGGAUGAACACUUAUGCAGAAGGCGGUUGUAGGGGGCUCCAGUUUCGUUGAGGAGCGAAAGUGUGGGGAGCGAAC